rnacentral:rRNA from 1 species
UGGGGAAUUUUCCGCAAUGGGCGAAAGCCUGACGGAGCAAUACCGCGUGAGGGAGGAGGGCUCUUGGGUUGUAAACCUCUUUUCUCAAGGAAGAAUACAAUGACGGUACUUGAGGAAUAAGCAUCGGCUAACUCCGUGCGAGCAGCCGCGGUAAUACGGAGGAUGCAAGCGUUAUCCGGAAUGAUUGGGCGUAAAGCGUCCGUAGGCGGUUUACCAAGUCAGUUGUUAAAGACUGCAGCUCAACUGUGGGCGAGCAACUGAAACUGAUGAACUAGAGUGCGGUAGGGGUAGAGGGAAUUCCCAGUGUAGCGGUGAAAUGCGUAGAUAUUGGGAAGAACACCAGUGGCGAAGGCGCUCUACUGGGCCGCAACUGACGCUGAGGGACGAAAGCUAGGGGAGCGAAAGGGAUUAGAUACCCCCGUAGUCC